UUCCAAUUAUUUCUUCAAUUAAAUAAAAGAAAAUACUAAAUAAUAGUACGAAUUAUCUUAUCCCAUUCGGAAGGAUAUCAUCUCAUAAUUAUCUAUGACUGUUUCUGUCUCUAGCACGACCACUUGAUGAAAUGGGGAGGGAAGUGGGACAAAUGGCCGAGACUACUGGAAGGAUUCCUCUUUGGAUAAUAGGUACUGUAACUGGUAUUCCUGUGAUCGGUUUAGUCGGUAUUUUCUUUUAUGGUUCAUAUUAUGGAUUAGGUUCAUCUCUGUAAUAAUCGGAUGAACUGAGUUGUAGACAUGAAAGCAUAAGAACUCAGCAGGAUCCCCCUCGAAUCAGAAAAAAAGAGGGGGUAGGUCCCGUUGAGCUCUUACUAAUUAGAAUAAUUUAUUCAUAUAAAUGACAAGUGGAUCUUUUCGAUGUUUCACAAAACUUAUUUCUUUCUGAUUCUGAAUUGCUUCAAAAAAUUGAUUCAGACCAUCUCUUUCGCGAUAGUAUCGGUCGAUACUUUCAAAGCGAAAAAAAGAAAGAAAGAGAGAAUCACUCGAUUCCCUCUUUCUGGAUGACACAAUCCCAAUAUAACAAUAAUAUAUUUCUAUCGAUUAGAUAUCACAAACCCUUUAAUAUAGUAAAAUAUAUUAAUAGAAUUUUCUCUAGUUAUUUUAAUAUAAAAUAGAAUUUAUAAAUUCAUUGAAUUUGUUCACUACUUAUGUAAUAAAUCAAAAAACGGUUCUGAUAAACCGGGAAAAAUUGAAACCAAGAAUAGGGAUCUUUGACGAACGGAUCAAGAAUUAUUAAUUAUUUGAUUAUUUCGACACAAGAACAAGAAAAGAAAUUUUUCUGGUAUCAAAGACUAGGAAGAUGAAUAAUCCCCUCUAGAAUCCUUUGUUCCCUUCAUUUUUUUUUCUAUUCUCCAUUUACUUAUCUUAUUUUUAAUAUCUAAUCAAAUUUCAUUCUAUUAGAAUAAAAAUGGAUACAUUCAAUGACAUUUCAAUCUGGCACCAGUGACAUAAUAAUACGGCUCCUAUUUGCAUUGUAAAAAACAAAGAAAUAAAGAAGAGGUAAAAUAGUCUUCCUCACAAUAUCCAUACUAUGACUAGUAAUGCGGUACAAGUCAUUCCCGAAA